rnacentral:rRNA from 1 species
CAGCAGCCACGGGAAUACGAAGGGUGCAAGCGUUAAUCGGAAUUACUGGGCGUAAAGCGCACGCAGGCGGUUUGUUAAGUCAGAUGUGAAAUCCCCGGGCUCAACCUGGGAACUGCAUUUGUGACUGGCAAGCUAGAGUGUGGCAGAGGGGGGUGGAAUUCCGCGUGUAGCAGUGAAAUGCGUAGAUAUGCGGAGGAACACCGAUGGCGAAGGCAGCCCCCUGGGCCAACACUGACGCUCAUGCACGAAAGCGUGGGGAGCAAACAGGAUUAGAUACCCGCGUAGUCCCUGUCUCUUAUAC